CGCCGCGUGGAGGAUGAAGGUCUUUGGAUUGUAAACUCCUUUCGAUCGGGACGAUUAUGACGGUACCGGAAGAAGAAGCACCGGCUAACUCUGUGC
rnacentral:rRNA from 1 species